rnacentral:rRNA from 1 species
AUUGAACGCUGGCGGCAGGCCUAACACAUGCAAGUCGAGCGGAUGAGAGGAGCUUGCUCCUCGAUUCAGCGGCGGACGGGUGAGUAAUGCCUAGGAAUCUGCCUAGUAGUGGGGGACAACGUUUCGAAAGGAACGCUAAUACCGCAUACGUCCUACGGGAGAAAGUGGGGAAUCUUCGGACCUCACGCUAUUAGAUGAGCCUAGGUCGGAUUAGCUAGUUGGUAGGGUAACGGCCUACCAAGGCGACGAUCCGUAACUGGUCUGAGAGGAUGAUCAGUCACACUGGAACUGAAACACGGUCCAGACUCCUACGGGAGGCAGCAGUGGGGAAUAUUGGACAAUGGGCGAAAGCCUGAUCCAGCCAUGCCGCGUGUGUGAAGAAGGCCCUCGGGUCGUAAAGCACUUUAAGUUGGGAGGAAGGGCUUACAGCGAAUACCUGUGAGUUUUGACGUUACCGACAGAAUAAGCACCGGCUAACUUCGUGCCAGCAGCCGCCGUAA